ACGUGACGCACCUCCCUUCAGCGCCGCCACCCGCUCCCUCCCGCCGUCGGCUGACGUGGAGGGCUGGAGGUGGCGGCGGCGGCGGCGGCGGCUGCUGCUGCUGCCCGCGUCCGAGGCUCGCGGGCGGCGGGCCCGGAAAUGCACUCGGUGAUGGAAAGAGAGCCACUAUUCUGAAGAACACUUGGCCAAAGGGUCAUUAUCGUUAUUGUGAUGCUCUUUCUAUGCUGGGGGAAUAUGACUGGGCCCUGCAAGCAAACAUAAAAGCUCAAAAACUCUGUAAAAAUGACCCUGAGGGAAUCAAGGAUCUAAUUCAGCAGCAUGUAAAGUUACAAAAACAAAUAGAAGACCUACAAGGUCGAACAGCAAAUAAGGAUCCAAUUAAAGCCUUUUAUGAAAACAGGGCCUACACACCUAGGAGUUUAUCAGCACCUAUAUUUACUACUUCACUUAACUUUGUGGAGAAGGAAAGAGAUUUCAGAAAAAUUAAUCACGAAAUGGCCAACGGUGGUAAUCAGAAUCUAAAGGCGGCGGAUGAGGCGUUGAAGGUAGAUGAUUGUGACUGUCAUCCUGAAUUUUCACCACCAUCAAGUCAGCCUCCAAAACAUAAAGGAAAACAAAAAUCUCGAAACAAUGAAUCAGAGAAGUUCAGUUCUAGUUCACCAUUGACUUUACCAGCAGAUUUGAAGAACAUCUUGGAGAAACAGUUUUCUAAAUCUUCCAGAGCUGAACACCAGGAUUUUGCUAAUAUAAUGAAAAUGCUGAGAAG
rnacentral:sRNA from 1 species